AAAGGACAUAUAUUGGUUUCCUAUUGCUGCUGGACCAAAUUAUCACCAAGUCGGUGACCUCAAACAGUACACAUGUAUUAUCUUACAGUUUCGGACAUAAGAAGUAAGAUGUGAGAGUCAUGCACUAAAAGCAAGGUGUUAGCUAUUUCAUUCCUUCUGGAAGCUCUAGGGGAGACUUCAUUUCCUUGAGUUUUCCAGCUUCAAGAGGCCUCACCCCUUGGCUGGUGGUUCCUCCCUCCAUCUUCAAAGCUAGCAUCACAUCCCUCUGACUCUUCUUACAUCAUCAGGAGUCUCUCUGAUGGUCAACACCAGCUGGAGAAGUGCCUCUGCCUUUAAGGACUCCUGUGGUUAGAUGAAGCCCACCUAGAGGACCCAGCAUGAUCCCUCCAUUUCAGUGGUCACAACCUUGAUCACAUGUGCAAAGUCCCUUUGCCAUGCAACCUAACAUAUUUGCGGGGUUCCGGAGAUGACUGCAUAGACAUUUUGGGCAGGGGUGUAUAAUUCUGCCUGCCAUAGGAAGGGAUGAGAGAGAUAUUCCCAGAACCAAAAGACAUCAUGACCUUCAGUCAUCCCUCAGUUGAAGAAAGACUUAACCGGGCACCUACUUUGUGCCAGGCCUAUUCCGUAGAGCAAUAAAGGUGUCAGCAAGAAUCUGACCUCUUCAAACUUACACUCCAGAAGAGGGAGAAAGACAACAUACAGGAGAAGGAAUAGACUAGACAAUGAUAGGAAGGUCAUUGACUGCUGAUGAUUAAUUAACGAGGCUAGAGAGGAGAUUUUGAUGGGGUGUGGCAAAAGUGAGAGAGCACUUGGGCUAGAGAACCUGGAAAAGCCUUGCACAGGAGAAAUACGAGGGAUGGGAAAGGAAGAACUGUCUGAGGGCAGAGGGCUCAGGUCAGAAGAGAAAGUGCAAAGGUCCUGAGGUAGGUAUAAAGUUGGGGUUUUCAAGGAAUGGAAAGUACCAGUGUGAUUGGUGGGUAAUGGGCCAUGGGGAAAUUUGCGAUAAUUGAGAUCAGAAAGGGAGACAGGGUCGAGUUUUUGCAAGCCUUGCUGGCCUAAUAAUUGUUAUUAGUACACUGGGGGAUUUUAUGGAAGGGCGUGGCGUGGUGUGAUAUACAUUUUUAAAAGUCACUUAAUGGAGUUCCCUGGUGGCCUAGAAGUUAGGGACUUGGCAUUGUCACUGCUGUGACUCGGGUUCCUGCUGUGGCUGAUUUUGAUCCUCGGCCUGGGAACUUCUGCAUGCCGUGGGUGUGGCCAAGGAAAAAUUUAAUAAAUAAAUAAGCGUCACUUUGUCCACUCACUGAUAAAUGGAUAGACAAAAUGUGGUAUAUCCAAAUAUUAUUUAGUAAGAAGAAAGGAUGACAAAUGAUACAGGUUUUCACAUGGAUGAACCUUGAAAACCUUAUAAGUAAAUGAAGCCAGUCCGCAUAUUUAUGAUUUACAUUUAUAUAAAAUAACGAUCAUAAUCAAAUCUCAAGAGACAGAAAGUAGAUUUGUGGUUACUUAGGUCUGGGGAGGAUGGGGAAGUUGAAAGGUGAUGACUCAAGGGUGUGAGGUUUCUUUAGAGGAUGAGGAAAUAUUCUAAAAUUAGAUGAUAGCGAUGGUUGCACAACUCUUUGAAUGGACUAAAAGCCAUUGAAUUGUGCACUUGAAAAGAGUAAAAUUGUAUGGUAUGUAGAUGACAUCUCAAUAAAGCUGUUAUUUAUUUUUUUUAAAAAAAAAGGUCAUCCAGGAGACAUCUGGUUGAACUUACGUUCUGAACACGUACGUUCACCUCCGCGAUAGAUGCCGCAGGUGGCAAAAUAAUGAGAAAUCGCAAAAGCAUAAAUCCACCCCAAAAAAGAGGAAUUUGAGAGAAAAUGACAAGCAGCAAACUUUGGAAGCUGAGAAGCAGAUCACCUUCAGUUCCCUGAUUUAGCAGACCAGAGAAAGCAGAAACACAGCAGGCAGUGGGGGACACCCAGCAGGACCCAUUUACCAGUUAAAAGGCUAGAAAGAAGCAUUCAUCAAAGGUAUUGAGGACCACUGGGCGGGCUGUGUGGACUGACCCCAGAAGAACUGACUCCAAGUCUGUAGGUAAAGAGAAUCACCCUGAUUCUCUUCCGCAUCCUGCACAGGAGGUUCAUAGGCUCUGGAUGUUCAAUCAGAAGGCUCUGGGCACAGCUGAGGGUAGAAGGACCACACUCCACAAGGGUGUGAAGUGAAAGUUGACGUGCUUUGUGGUGAUGCUGUGACUCCUCAAGCCCCUUCCCCCAGUCAGAUCUGAGACGGGCCAGCUGCUACCCUCAUCCUUACUUCUACCUCCGUCCCUGAGGCAGAAGGCAUGCAUAUCAGGGAGGUUUCUCCUGCCUUAGGACCGCGUAAUAGCCCCUGUCUUAGUCUCCUCAGGCUGUUAGAACAGAACAGCACAGACCAAGUGGCUUAUGAACAAUAGAAUUUUAUUGCUCAUAGUUCUGGAGGCUGAGAAGUCCACAAUCAAGGUGCUGCCUGAAGAGUUCCCCCUGUGGCUCAGUGGGUUAAGAACCCAACAUAGUCCCCAUGACAAUGUAGGUUGGAUCCCUGGCCUGGCUCAGUGGGUUAAGGAGCCUGUGUUGCUGCAGGUGUAGGUUACAGAUGUGACACGGAUCUGGCGUUGCUCUGGAUGUGGUGUAGGCUGACAGCUGCGGCUCUGACUCAUUGCCUAGCCACCUGCCAUAUGCCGAAGGUGUGGCUUUAAAAAAAUAAAAUAAUAAAAUAAAAAAGUGCUGGCUGAUAUAGCAUAUGGUGAGGGCUCUCUUCCUUGUUUAGAGACAGCAGCCUUCUUACAGUGUCCUUACAGGAUAGAAAGAAAGUGAGCUCCCAUUUUGGUUUUUUAUGUGUGCUCCACCCUAAGGACCUCAUUACCUCCCAAAGGCCCCACCUCCUAAUACCAUCAUACUGGGGACUAAGGUUCAACAUAUGGAUUUCGAGAGGACAAAAACAUUCAGUCUGGGAGUUUCUGUCAUGGCUCAGUGGUUAACAAACCCAGCUAGUAUCCAUGAGGACUUGGGUUCAAUCCCUGGCUUCACUCAGUGGGUUAAGGAUCCGGCAUUGCCAUGAGCUGUGGUGUAAGCUGCAGACACGACUCCGAUCUGGCGUUGCUGUAGCUGUGGCGUAGGCUGGCAGCUACAGCUCCAAUUUGACCCCUAGCCUAGGAACCUCCAUAUGCCACGAGUUUGGCACUAAAAAACAGACAAACAAACAAAAAAAUUCAGUCCCUGGAACCCAAGUCUCUCUGGCUUACAACCACAAACAUUUAUUUUUUGUGUUAGUUCUGCUGGUUGAAUGGGGUUCAGCUCAUUUCAGCUGGGCUCCCCAAGUCUCCAGAUUUCAGACUGGAUCCAUGCUUUCUCCCUGGAUUUGGGGCUAGUGGCUACUAGACACGUCCUUCUUAUGGUGGAUGGCAGAGUUCGAGAGGACAGAUUUGAACACACACAAGCAUGUUUAAAGUCUCUGCUCUAAUCACAGCUGCUCAUGUAUCCUCUCACCCAAAGCAAGUCACCUGGCCAGUGGAGCUUCCAAAAAGCAGGGAAAGUACACUUCUCCCACACAGGGUAGCCAGGGCAGGGAAGGAAUAAAAAUGUAUGGACAAUAAUAUAAUACACCCCACAGCCCAAGAGAAAAGACACAUAAACGCUGAGUCCAGGGCUUCUCCAAUAAAAGGAGCCCAUUCAGAUCACACUAGAGUGAACUUUUGUUCUCAAGACCCUUUAGCAUUCUUAAAAAUUAGUGAAGACUCCAAAGAGAUUUUGUUUAUAUGUG
rnacentral:lncRNA from 1 species